rnacentral:rRNA from 1 species
CGUAGGGUGCAAGCGUUAUCCGGAAUUAUUGGGCGUAAAGAGCUCGUAGGCGGUCUGUCGCGUCUGCUGUGAAAACUGGGGGCUCAACCCCCAGCCUGCAGUGGGUACGGGCAGACUAGAGUGCGGUAGGGGAGAUUGGAAUUCCUGGUGUAGCGGUGGAAUGCGCAGAUAUCAGGAGGAACACCGAUGGCGAAGGCAGAUCUCUGGGCCGUAACUGACGCUGAGGAGCGAAAGCAUGGGGAGCGAACAGGAUUAGAUACCCUGGUAGUCCAUGCCGUAAACGUUGGGAACUAGAUGUAGGGACCAUUCCACGGUUUCUGUGUCGCAGCUAACGCAUUAAGUUCCCCGCCUGGGGAGUACGGCCGCAAGGCUA